GACGAACGCUGGCGGCGUGCCUAAUACAUGCAAGUAGAACGCUGAAGGAGGAGCUUGCUCUUCUGGAUGAGUUGCGAACGGGUGAGUAACGCGUAGGUAACCUGCCUGGUAGCGGGGGAUAACUAUUGGAAACGAUAGCUAAUACCGCAUAAUAUUGAUUAUUGCAUGAUAGUCAAUUAAAAGGUGCAAUUGCAUCACUACCAGAUGGACCUGCGUUGUAUUAGCUAGUUGGUGAGGUAACGGCUCACCAAGGCAACGAUACAUAGCCGACCUGAGAGGGUGAUCGGCCACACUGGGACUGAGACACGGCCCAGACUCCUACGGGAGGCAGCAGUAGGGAAUCUUCGGCAAUGGACGGAAGUCUGACCGAGCAACGCCGCGUGAGUGAAGAAGGUUUUCGGAUCGUAAAGCUCUGUUGUAAGAGAAGAACGAGUGUGAGAGUGGAAAGUUCACACUGUGACGGUAUCUUACCAGAAAGGGACGGCUAACUACGUGCCAGCAGCCGCGGUAAUACGUAGGUCCCGAGCGUUGUCCGGAUUUAUUGGGCGUAAAGCGAGCGCAGGCGGUUAGAUAAGUCUGAAGUUAAAGGCUGUGGCUUAACCAUAGUACGCUUUGGAAACUGUUUAACUUGAGUGCAAGAGGGGAGAGUGGAAUUCCAUGUGUAGCGGUGAAAUGCGUAGAUAUAUGGAGGAACACCGGUGGCGAAAGCGGCUCUCUGGCUUGUAACUGACGCUGAGGCUCGAAAGCGUGGGGGAGCAAACAGG
rnacentral:rRNA from 1 species